CGAUACGACACCAAUCAGAAUCAUUGACGACUUCAGUACAGUAUUUGUACGACAACACCAACAACAACAAGAAGAAGAAGAAAAAAGAGCAAGAUCAACAUUAUCAGUAGCACCAUCAUUAUUUUGUUGUCAAAC
rnacentral:ribozyme from 1 species